rnacentral:rRNA from 1 species
UACGUAGGGUGCAAGCGUUAAUCGGAAUUACUGGGCGUAAAGCGUGCGCCGGCGGUUAUGUAAGACAGUUGUGAAAUCCCCGGGCUCAACCUGGGAAUUGCAUCUGUGACUGCAUAGCUAGAGUACGGUAGAGGGGGAUGGAAUUCCGCGUGUAGCAGUGAAAUGCGUAGAUAUGCGGAGGAACACCGAUGGCGAAGGCAAUCCCCUGGACCUGUACUGACGCUCAUGCACGAAAGCGUGGGGAGCAAACAGG